GGUGUUUGGAGACCCAGGCUCAUGUAGAAAACAAGAGGAAGACUCCAGAACAGUUCCUCUCAGCUUGGCACGUGCCUUCCUGAAAGGGACCACAGAGGUCAUUUGUCAUAGAACGCAGACCCACAAGACAGAAGAAGCUGGAUCUCUGAAUUACUGCUUGGGGACAAGCCCCCCACUCAUCAAAAACACUGAAUUAAACUUCAUGUGAGCAAGAAAUAAACUUGUAUUUAGAAAGGCUUUUUG
rnacentral:lncRNA from 1 species